rnacentral:rRNA from 1 species
UACGUAGGGUGCAAGCGUUGUCCGGAAUUAUUGGGCGUAAAGAGCUCGUAGGCGGUUCGUCGCGUCGGCUGUAAAAUCCCGAGGCUCAACCUCGGGUCUGCAGUCGAUACGGGCGGACUGGAGUACUGCAGGGGAGACUGGAAUUCCUGGUGUAGCGGUGAAAUGCGCAGAUAUCAGGAGGAACACCGGUGGCGAAGGCGGGUCUCUGGGCAGUUACUGACGCUGAGGAGCGAAAGCGUGGGGAGCGAACAGG